rnacentral:rRNA from 2 species
AGGGGGGGGGGGGUGCUAUAAUGCAAGUCGAGCGGACAGAAUGGAGCUUGCUCCCGGAUGUUAGCGGCGGACGGGUGAGUAACACGUGGGUAACCUGCCUGUAAGACUGGGAUAACUCCGGGAAACCGGAGCUAAUACCGGAUAGUUCCUUGAACCGCAUGGUUCAAGGAUGAAAGACGGUUUCGGCUGUCACUUACAGAUGGACCCGCGGCGCAUUAGCUAGUUGGUGAGGUAACGGCUCACCAAGGCGACGAUGCGUAGCCGACCUGAGAGGGUGAUCGGCCACACUGGGACUGAGACACGGCCCAGACUCCUACGGGAGGCAGCAGUAGGGAAUCUUCCGCAAUGGACGAAAGUCUGACGGAGCAACGCCGCGUGAGUGAUGAAGGUUUUCGGAUCGUAAAGCUCUGUUGUUAGGGAAGAACAAGUGCAAGAGUAACUGCUUGCACCUUGACGGUACCUAACCAGAAAGCCACGGCUAACUACGUGCCAGCAGCCGCGGUAAUACGUAGGUGGCAAGCGUUGUCCGGAAUUAUUGGGCGUAAAGGGCUCGCAGGCGGUUUCUUAAGUCUGAUGUGAAAGCCCCCGGCUCAACCGGGGAGGGUCAUUGGAAACUGGGAAACUUGAGUGCAGAAGAGGAGAGUGGAAUUCCACGUGUAGCGGUGAAAUGCGUAGAGAUGUGGAGGAACACCAGUGGCGAAGGCGACUCUCUGGUCUGUAACUGACGCUGAGGAGCGAAAGCGUGGGGAGCGAACAGGAUUAGAUACCCUGGUAAUCCACGCCGUAACGAUGAGUGCUAGUGUUAGGGGGUUUCCGCCCCUUAGUGCUGCAGCUAACGCAUUAGCACUCCGCCUGGGGAGUACGUCGCAGACUGAAACUCAAGGAUUGACGGGGCCCGCACAACGGUGAAACAGUGGUUUAAUUCGAAUCACGCAAACACCUUACCUGGUCUAGACUUCUCUGACACCCAAAAGAAAGGCUUUCCUUCGGGA